AUUGAACGCUGGCGGGAUGCUUUACACAUGCAAGUCGAACGGAGUGGCGGACGGGUGAGUAAUGUAUCGGAACGUGCCCAAUAGCGGGGGAUAACUACUCGAAAGAGUGGCUAAUACCGCAUACCAUGAGAGCAGCCCAUAUGGGAUUAGCUAGUGGGUGGGGUAAAGGCACACCAUGGCGAAGAGCCGUAGCUGGUUUGAGAGGACGACCAGCCACACUGGGACUGAGACACGGCCCAGACUCCUACGGGAGGCAGCAGUGGGGAAUUUUGGACAAUGGGGGAAACCCUGAUCCAGCCAUCCCGCGUGUAUGAUGAAGGCCUUCGGGUUGUAAAGUACUUUUGGCAGAGAAGCGGUAUCUGCAGAAUAAGCACCGGCUAACUACGUGCCAGCCGCCGCGGUAAUUC
rnacentral:rRNA from 1 species